AUGAGCGCUGGCUACAGGCUUAACACAUGCAAGUCGAGGGGAAACGACGGGGAAGCUUGCUUCCCCGGGCGUCGACCGGCGCACGGGUGAGUAACGCGUAUCCAACCUGCCUCUGACUGAGGGAUAACCCGUCGAAAGUCGGCCUAAUACCUCAUGGCAUCGUCUGCGGGCAUCCAACGACGAUUAAAGAUUUCAUCGGUCAGGGAUGGGGAUGCGUCUGAUUAGCUUGUUGGCGGGGUAACGGCCCACCAAGGCUACGAUCAGUAGGGGUUCUGAGAGGAAGGUCCCCCACAUUGGAACUGAGACACGGUCCAAACUCCUACGGGAGGCAGCAGUGAGGAAUAUUGGUCAAUGGGCGGGAGCCUGAACCAGCCAAGUAGCGUGCAGGAGGACGGCCCUAUGGGUUGUAAACUGCUUUUAUGCGGGGAUAAAGUGAGGGACGUGUCCUUCAUUGCAGGUACCGCAUGAAUAAGGACCGGCUAAUUCCGUG
rnacentral:rRNA from 1 species